rnacentral:rRNA from 1 species
UACGGGGGGUGCGGGCGUUGUCCGGAAUCACUGGGCGUAAAGGGCGCGUAGGUGGCGUCGUAAGUCUGUGGUGAAAGCCCGGAGCUCAACUCCGGGUCUGCCGCGGAUACUGCGAGGCUUGAGUGCUGUAGAGGGGGGUAGAAUGCCGGGUGUAGCGGUGGAAUGCGUAGAGAUCCGGCAGAAGACCGGUGGCGAAGGCGGCCCCCUGGGCAGUAACUGACACUGAGGCGCGACAGCGUGGGGAGCAAACAGG